rnacentral:rRNA from 1 species
GCGCACCAGUCGCGAAUCCUCCACAAUGCACGAAAGUGUGAUGGGGUUACCCUGAGUGCCAUCCGAUGAGGAUGGCUUUUCACCAGUGUAAGGCGCUGGUGGAAUAAGGGGAGGGCAAGGCUGGUGCCAGCCGGCCGCGGUAAAACCCAGCUCCUCGAGUGGUCGGGAUGAUUAUUGGGCCUAAAGCGUCCGUAGCCGGUCUGGUAAGUCCCCGGUUAAAUCCGGCA